AACCGCCGGAUGCGGAACCGCACGUCCGGUGGUGUGAGAGGGCGACGGGAGUAAUCUCGCCCCCUACUCAAU
rnacentral:ncRNA from 1 species